AUGGGUAUGCUUUUAGAAUUUUUGAUCAAUUGGUUAUAAUUUUUAAAUAAAUUUUCCAAAACCUGCUAUUUUUAGAAGUUUUUCAUUUUGUAGGAAAAUAUUGUAGAUUUGGGAUUGAGAUUUAGAAAUUAGAAUAACAAGAGUUUUUGUUGAUAUAUGGGCAUGCUUUUAGAAGUUUUGAUCAAUGGGUUAUAUUUUUAAAAUAAACUUUUAAAAACUGAAAUUUUUGGAAAGUUAUCAUUUUGUAGAAAAAUAUUGUAGGUUUGAGAUUGUGAUUUAGAAAUUAGGAUAACAAGAGUUUUAGUUGAUAGAUGGACAUGCUUUUAGAAUUUUUGAUCAAUAGGUUAUAUUUUUAAAAUAAACUUUUAAAAACUGCUAUAUUUGGAAAGUUAUCACUUUGUAGAUAAAUAUUGUAGAUUUGAGAUUGCUAUUUAGAAAUUAAGAUAACAAGAGUUUUUGUUGAUAGACGGGUAUGCUUUUAAAAUUUUUAAUCAAUUGGUUCUAAUUUUUAAAUAAAUUUUCCAAAACCUGCUAUUUUUAGAAAGUUUUCAUUUUUUAGGAAAUUAUUGUAGAUUUGGGAUUGUGAUUUAGAAAUUAGGAUAACAAGAGUUUUUGUUGAUAGAUGGGUAUGCUUUUAGAAUUUUUGAUCAAUAGGCUAUAUUUUUAAAAUGAAAUUUUAAAAACUGUUAUAUUUGAAAAGUUAUCAUUUUGUAGAUAAAUAUUGUAGAUUUGAGAUUGUGAUUAAUAAUUUAGGAUAACAAGAGCUUUUGUUGAUAGAUAGGUAUGCUUUUAAAAUUUUCGAUAAAUAUGUUAUAUCUUGAAGAUAUAUUAUCUAAAACCAAUUAUGUUAGGAAAAUUAUCAUUUUUGUCGACAAAUAUUGUAAAUCUGGGAUUGUGAUUUAAAAAUUAGGAUAACAAGAGUUUUUGUUGAUAGAUGAGUAUGCUUUUAGAAUUUUUGAUCAAUUGAUUAUAAUUUCUUAAUAAAUUUUUCAAAACCUGAUAUUUUUAUAAAGUUUUCAUUUUGUAGGAAAUUAUUGUAGAUUUGGGAUUGAGAUUUAGAAAUUAGGAUAACAAGAAUUUUUGUUGCUAGAAGGGCAUGCUUUUAGAGUUUUUGAUCAAUAGGUUAUAUUUUUAAAAUAAACUUUUAAAAACUGCUAUAUUUGGAAAGUUAUCAUUUUGUAGAUAAAUAUUGUAGAUUUGAGAUUGUGAUUUAGAAAUUAGGAUAACAAGAGUUUUUGUUGAUAGAUGAGUAUGCUUUUAGAAUUUUUGAUCAAUUGGUUAUAAUUUUUAAAUAAAUUUUCCAAAACCUGCUAUUUUUAGAAAGUUUUCAUUUUUUAGGAAAUUAUUGUAGAUUUGGGAUUGUGAUUUAGAAAUUAGGAUAACAAGAGUUUUUGUUGAUAGAUGGGUAUGCUUUUAGAAUUUUUGAUCAAUAGGCUAUAUUUUUAAAAUGAAAUUUUAAAAACUGUUAUAUUUGAAAAGUUAUCAUUUUGUAGAUAAAUAUUGUAGAUUUGAGAUUGUGAUUUAGAAAUUAAGAUAACAAGAGUUUUUGUUGAUAGAUGGGUGUGCUUUUAGAAUUUUCGAUCAAUUGGUUAUAAUUUUUAAAUAAAUUUUCUAAAACCUGCUAUUUUUAGAAAUUUUUCAUUUUGUAGGAAAAUAUUGUAGAUUUGGGAUUGAGAUUUAGAAAUUUGGAUAACAAGAGUUUUUGUUGAUAGAUGAGCAUGCUUUUAGAAUUUUUGAUCAAUAGGUUAUAUUUUUAAAAUAAACUUUUAAAAACUGCUAUAUUUGGAAAGUUAUCAUUUUGUAGAUAAAUAUUGUAGAUUUGAGAUUGUGAUUUAGAAAUUAAGAUAUGAAGAGUUUUUGUUGAUAGAUGGGUAUGCUUUUAGAAUUUUCGAUCAAUAGGUUAUAAUUUUUUAAUAAAUUUUCAAAACCUACUAUUUUUAGAAAUUUUUCAUUUUGUAGGAAAAUAUUUUAGAUUUGGGAUUGAGAUUUAGAAAUUAGGAUAACAAGAUUUUUUGUUGAUAGAUGGGCAUGCUUUUAGAGUUUUUGAUCAAUAUGUUAUAUUUUUAAAAUAAACUUUUAAAAACUGCUAUAUUUGGAAAGUUAUCAUUUUGUAGAUAAAUAUUGUGGAUUUGAGAUUGUGAUGUAGAAAUUAGGAUAACAAGAGUUUUUGUUGAUAGAUGAGUAUGCUUUUAGAAUUUUCGAUCAAUUGGUUAUAAUUUUUAAAUAAAUUUUCCAAAACCUGCUAUUUUUAUAAAGUUUUCAUUUUUUAGGAAACUAUUGUAGAUUUGAGAUUGUGAUUUAAAAAUUAGGAUAACAAGAUAUUUUAUUGAUAAAUGGGUAUGCUUUUAGAAAUUUUGAUCAAUAGGUUAUAUUUUUAAAAUAAAAUUUUAAAAACUGCUAUAUUUGGAAAGUUAUCAUUUUUUAGAUAAAUAUUGUAGAUUUAAGAUUGUGAUUUAGAAAUUAGUAUAACAAGAGUUUUUGUAGAUAAAUAGGUAUGAUUUUAGAAAUUUUUAUCAAUAUAUUAUAUAUUGUAGAUAUAUUAUCUAAAACCAUAGAUUGAGAUUCUAAUUUAAAACACCUUUUCAUAUGUUUCUUUUAGUUUUUGAUCAAGGUG
rnacentral:lncRNA from 1 species